rnacentral:rRNA from 1 species
UACGGAGGAUGCGAGCGUUAUCCGGAUUUAUUGGGUUUAAAGGGUGCGCAGGCGGAUUUUUAAGUCAGCGGUCAAAUCGUGGGGCUCAACCCCAUCCAGCCGUUGAAACUGGGGAUCUAGAGUGUGCGAGAGGUAUGCGGAAUGCGUGGUGUAGCGGUGAAAUGCAUAAAUAUCACGCAGAACCCCGAUUGCGAAGGCAGCAUACCGGUGCACAACUGACGCUCAGGCACGAAAGCGUGGGUAUCGAACAGG